AGUCAGAGCAUUUGAUUAGUUCAAAUAAUCUGAUUUGCGAUAAUUGUCUAUCAACAAUUAGUAAGGUAAGAAAAUUGCGUGGUUAGCAGAAUAGUUUGAAUGGCUAGCCAAAGAACGUGAAAGCCGUGUACGUGAAAACGACGCUGACCUUAUAUGUGUUUUAUCGAGUAGGACGGGGCACGAGAAACCCUGUUUGAAUCUGGCUGGACCACCAGCCAAGGCUAAAUAUAAUAUACGAUCGAUAGUGAACAAGUACAGUGAUGGAAAGGUGAAAAGAACCCCGGGAGGGGAGUGAAAUAGAUCCUGAAAUUUAGUGCCUACAAGGAGUCGGAGCCGGCUUGUCCGGUGACGGCGUGCUUUUUGUAGAACGAUCCAGCGAGUUAAUUUCGUGCGCAAGGUUAAGCCAGUUGGCGGAGCCACAGUGAAAGCGAGCCUGAAUAGGGCGAUUAAGUGUACGGGAUUAGACCCGAAACCGGGUGACCUAACCAUGAGCAGGUUGAAGCCACUGUAACAGGUGGUGGAGGACCGAACCAGGAUACGCAGCAAAGUGUUUGGAUGACUUGUGGUUAGCGGUGAAAUGCCAAUCGAACUCGGAGAUAGCUGGUUCUCCUCGAAACAGUUUUAGGACUGGCGUCAUGUGGUAGCAGUCGGGGGUAGAGCUCUGUAAAGGACUGGGGGGAGCAAUCCUACCCACCCUUAACAAACUACGAAUACCGGCUGUGGAAUCAUGGCAGUUAGAACGGCGGAGCUAAGUUCGUCGCUCAAAAGGGAAACAGCCCAGACCAUCGUCUAAGGUCCCUAAAUUUACGUUAAGUGGGAAACAAGGUGAGAUUUCUUAAACAGCUAGGAUGUUGGCUUAGAAGCAGCCAUUCAUUUAAAGAGUGCGUAACAGCUCACUAGUCAAGAGAUUCUGCGUGGAAGAUAUAACGGGGCUAAGCGUAAUACCGAAGAUAUGGAUUGCAAUUUAUUGCAGUGGUAGCGGAGCGUUCCUAUCGGCAGUGAAGCCGGACUGUUAAGUACCGGUGGAGCGUUAGGAAGUGAGAAUGCUGGAACGAGUAACCAUAAGACAGGUGAGAAUCCUGUCGGCCGAAAGAGCGAGGUUUCCUGGGCUAUGGUAAUCAUCCCAGGGUUAGUCGGGCCUAAGCCGAGGCGUUUAGCGUAGGCGAUGGACAUCAGGUUAAUAUUCCUGAACUAGUCAAACUUUGUAUGCAGUUAGCGAUGAGAUAGGUGGAGCGGAUUCAUGGUUUAUCCGUUCAAGUGAUAGAGGAAUCUUGAUCGAGUAAAAGUGAACCUACGGGUUUACGAUUCCGCUGAAGGCAUUGACCAGAAAAGCUGGCAUACGCAUGGGUUUGGCUACCCGUACCGCAAACCGACACAGGUGCUCGAGUCGAGGAGACUAAGGCUUACGAGAGAAUGAUUGCUAAGGAACUCGGCAAUACAGCGACCGUAACUUCGGAAUAAGGUCUGCCUACAUUUGUAGGCCGCAGCUAAAGAGCCCACGGAACUGUUUAUCAAAAACUCAGGUCUCUGCUAACACGAAAGUGGAUGUAUAGGGGCUGAAACCUGCCCGGUGCCGGAAGGUUAAGGGGAUUGCUUCACGGUGAGAACUGAAGCCCCGGUGAACGGCGGCGGUAACUAUAACCGUCCUAAGGUAGCGAAAUUCCUUGUCAGGUAAGUUCUGACCCGCACGAAUGGAGUAAUCAUGUGGGCACUGUCUCAGCGAAGGACUCGGUGAAAGUGCAUUGGCGGUAAAGAUGCCGUCUGUCCAUACCAGGACGAGAAGACCCCAUGGAGCUUUACUACAGCUUUACAUUGAUCCAGGUUUCAGCAUGUGUAGCAUAGUUGGGAGACUUUGAAACAGAUACGCUAGUAUUUGCGGAGUCGCAAUGUGAAAUACCAACCUUGCUGUGAUCUUGAUCUCACUUGUGCCGUUAUCCGGUACAAGGACCGUGUAUGGUGGGUAGUUUAACUGGGGCGGUUGCCUCCUAAAGAGUAGCGGAGGCGUUCAAAGGUUGGCUAACUUCGGAUGGAAAUCGAAGUGAUAGUGUAUGCGCAUAAGCCAGCUUGACUGUGAGGAGUACAUUCCAAUCAGAGACGAAAGUCGGAGCAAGUGACCCGCUGUACGAACAUUUGUUCAUUGAAUGUGGGAUCGACAGCGCACACGGAUAAAAGUUACCCUGGGGAUAACAGGCUUAUAGCGCCCAAUAGUUCACAUAGACGGCGCUGUUUGGCACCUCGAUGUCGGCUCAUCACAUCCUGGAGGGGGAGCACCUUCCAAGGGUUCGGCUGUUCGCCGAUUAAAGUGGUACGCGAGCUGGGUUCAGAACGUCGUGAGACAGUUCGGUCCCUAUCCAUCGCGGGCGCAA
rnacentral:rRNA from 1 species